AGAGUUUGAUCCUGGCUCAGGAUGAACGCUGGCGGUAUGCUUAACACAUGCAAGUCGAACGGUGUCUUCGGACACAGUGGCGGACGGGUGAGUAACGCGUGAGAAUCUGGCUUCAGGUCUGGGACAACCACUGGAAACGGUGGCUAAUACCGGAUGUGCCGAGAGGUGAAAGGCUUGCUGCCUGAAGAUGAGCUCGCGUCUGAUUAGCUAGUAGGUGGGGUAAAAGCCUACCUAGGCGACGAUCAGUAGCUGGUCUGAGAGGAUGAUCAGCCACACUGGGACUGAGACACGGCCCAGACUCCUACGGGAGGCAGCAGUGGGGAAUUUUCCGCAAUGGGCGAAAGCCUGACGGAGCAAUACCGCGUGAGGGAGGAAGGCUCUUGGGUCGUAAACCUCUUUUCUCAGGGAAGAACACAAUGACGGUACCUGAGGAAUCAGCAUCAGCUAACUCCGUGCCAGCAGCCGCGGUA
rnacentral:rRNA from 1 species